rnacentral:rRNA from 1 species
GACGAACGCUGGCGGCGUGCUUAACACAUGCAAGUCGACAUGAGUGGCGAACGGGUGAGUAAUACGUGGGUAACCUGCCCUCCUUUUUGGGAUAAGCCUUGGAAACGGGGUCUAAUACCGACUAAAGGGGGAUGGGCUCGCGGACUGUGGGCUUGUUGGUGGGGUGAUGGGCUACCAAGGCGGUGACGGGUAGCCGGCCUGAGAGGGGGACCGGCAACAUAGGGACUGUGAGACGGCCCAGAGGCGGACGGGAGGGAGAAGUGGGGGGUAUUGCAGAAUGGGAGAAGGCGUGAUGCAGCGAGGCCGCGUGGGGGAUGAAGGCUUUCGGGUUGUAAACCUCUUGCGCUAUGGAACGGGUAGGUGGAGAAGAAGCGCCGGCUAACUACGUGCCAGCAGCCGCGGUAAUUC